CGUAGGUGGCAAGCGUUGUCCGGAAUUAUUGGGCGUAAAGCGCGCGCAGGCGGUCCUUUAAGUCUGAUGUGAAAGCCCACGGCUCAACCGUGGAGGGUCAUUGGAAACUGGGGGACUUGAGUACAGAAGAGAAGAGUGGAAUUCCACGUGUAGCGGUGAAAUGCGUAGAGAUGUGGAGGAACACCAGUGGCGAAGGCGACUCUUUGGUCUGUAACUGACGCUGAGGCGCGAAAGCGUGGGGAGCAAACAGGAUUAGAUACCCUGGUAGUCCACGCUGUAAACGAUGAGUGCUAAGUGUUAGAGGGUUUCCGCUCUUUAGUGCUGCAGCUAACGCAUUAAGCACUCCGCCUGGGGAGUACGGCCGCAAGGCUG
rnacentral:rRNA from 1 species